GGCGGAUGUAGCCAAUUGGAAUCAAGGCAGUGGAUUUGUGAA
rnacentral:tRNA from 1 species